GACGGAGGAUGCAAGUGUUAUCCGGAAUCACUGGGCGUAAAGCGUCUGUAGGUGGUUUAAUAAGUCAACUGUUAAAUCUUGAGGCUCAACCUCAAAAUCGCAGUCGAAACUAUUAGGCUAGAGUAUAGUAGGGGUAAAGGGAAUUUCCAGUGGAGCGGUGAAAUGCGUAGAGAUUGGAAAGAACGCCAAUGGCGAAAGCACUUUACUGGGCUAUUACUGACACUGAGAGACGAAAGCUAGGGUAGCAAAUGGG
rnacentral:rRNA from 1 species